UUUAGUACCGUACCUGUGCAGCU
rnacentral:piRNA from 1 species